UGAGAAGAGAUGGUCCAUUCAAAACUAGAUGGAAGAGGAUGUUACUUUAGUAUACACAAAUCUUGCUGUGCUGUGUGCUAUGAUUUUAACUUUCAGUUUCAUCCAGAAAUGUCAAUCCCCACAUUAAUUUUGCUUCUAGUACUUGCAUGUGACAGUAAUGGUCAGACCAUUGAGCCAAUCAGAGAGGAGGUGUAUGCUCCAGCAGGUAGCAAUAUUACACUUUCAUGCACCUACUCAUCUGCAGUCUCUCUUCAAUGGUAUCUCCAGGACCCUGGAUCACCUCCUCAGUAUAUACUGCUUAUCCUGCAUGGUGCUGGGUCUCCAUCACGGGCUCCAAGUCUGGAUCCUCGACUGUCAGUCAAACUAAAUGAUGAGAAGAACCGUGUGGAUCUGGAGAUCUCCUCUGCUAAAGAGAAAGACUCUGCUAUGUACUACUGUGCACUGACGCCCACAGUGAAAGGAAACCAACAAACGCUGUACAAAAACCUAACCUGACACAUUCUAUACGUACAUGACAUGACCUACAGGAGAUGAUACAUCUGAAGAUUUUUCUUUUUGACAGGAAACCUGGUGGGAGUGUUUAAAAACCUACGUAAAGAGGAGGAGCAACAUUGUAUACGCCUAGUUAUCAUUUCAAAGUCAUAGCAAUGUUUUGGCUUUGCUGUUUUCUAAAUAACACAUUUAUGUCUGUUCUAUAACAUAGACCAUGAUGCUCCUGUUAUAUUCUACUGAUUUCAGCCCUUGUAGGUGAUACUUUAGAGGAUGAUAUUACUCAAACCAGUCCUGAGGAGUAUUAUUUAGAGGGUAGCAGAGUUAAGAGCUCCUGUAACUAUACAGUAAAGGCUAAUAAUCUCCAGUGGUACAGACAGUACCCUGGAUCAGCACCCCAAUUCCUCCUCUACACUACAGUCGCUGCAACUCCACGUGUAG